UACGUAGGGAGCAAGCGUUGUCCGGAAUUACUGGGCGUAAAGAGCUCGUAGGUGGUUUGUCGCGUUGUUCGUGAAAACUCACAACUCAAUUGUGGGCGUGCGGGCGAUACGGGCAGACUGGAGUACUGCAGGGGAGACUGGAAUUCCUGGUGUAGCGGUGGAAUGCGCAGAUAUCAGGAGGAACACCGGUGGCGAAGGCGGGUCUCUGGGCCGAUACUGACGCUGAGGAGCGAAAGCGUGGGGAGCGAACAGG
rnacentral:rRNA from 1 species